rnacentral:lncRNA from 1 species
GCAGGAAAUUCCGGAAUGGAUUCUAGGAUCAGUCGUCAAUGAGGAGUCCCUGAACCAGAGCCAGGAAUACACUGAGAAAAAUACUGCGGAGCGAGGAAAGAAGGGAGAGAAGUUCGUACGAGAAAGAUAAUAUUGGAAGGUAGGGUCGUGGACUUUUGUUGGUGUUAACUGAAUAUUCUAUCACCCUCUAGUUUAUCUGCCAAUCUCAUUCUUUGGAUGGAACUUUGAGGGGUUGGGAUAGAGCUAGGAUUUGAGCAAACUGAAUUGAGGGGUUGGCGGCUGUGGCGGAAGGUUAAGGAUCUAGGGAGCCUAAAAGAGAGAAACACUGACUGGAGCUCUGGAUUCGGGGUGUGUAUUCACAAGGUCACUAAGGAAUCCUGGGUCUAAAGCCCUUUCCCGAGGUUCCCUUCACUCCAACUUCUAAAGACUGCCGCCACCUCCGCACCUCUCCCCACUGCGGACUUUCUGCUCUUUCAGGCUUUCUGCUCCCUCUGCUGGCGGUUCUGGCACUUGACACCAUCUUGGAGUCCGGGAAAAUGCAGGCACGAUGGAGCUAAAGAAGCUUUGACAGAUCUCCCACCACCACCACCACCACAACCACGAAAACCCAGUUAGGAUCCCGGAGACGGGGAUGUACGAGCCCAAUGAAAUGGAGGGCACACUUGCGAGGCUGUUAAUGCCUAGCGGUUGUGCCUGACGAGGGGUGCCCUGUCCCUUUGGAUUUGUGUUGCCAUAGUGACUGUAUUCAGGGAUGGGGGCAGCUAUUUCAGUCUCUGGUCUUUCUGAUAAAGAAGAGAAAGCAUGAUGGCGGAAAGGAGACCCUUCCCUUUAAUGUCAUCUCUCAGACAGACCUCCCACAUCCUAGCUAUGUCUCCAAGGACUACUUUUUUAAGUCUGGAAGGUCAGUGGUCCUACAGUUCUAUCUGAGAAUCAAGGGGGAAAAGAAAAGGUGAAGCUAGGGGCAGGCCAGAGGUCCUACAACAGGGUAGUGAUUCUGGGGGUGGGGACGUAUAGGGAACACUGUUUGAGUCUGCCUCCCCACAUGACUGACUCAAACCACUUACACAUAGAAGGUCAUGGACCUUCACCCUGCACCCAAUUCAGUCAGGCUGACCAAUGGUCAUUGAAAAAAGAAGGGACACAACAUAUGCUCCCUUCCCAGAUGCCUGCCCCUUCUUCAGAGGAGCUCUUUUAGAACACACUAUAGAUCAGCAAUUCUUAAACUUUUUUAUGUUUUAAGACCUCUCUAUGCUCUUCAAAAUUAUUGAGCUUUUUUUUUUGCAUGAGAUCUAGAUCUAUCAAUUUAUCAUAUUAGAAAUUAAAACAAAAAAUUAUAACACAAGAAUACACAAGUUCACAUUCCAUUAAGAAUAAUGUUAGAAAGAUGAUGUAAUUGCUUGAAACACUCUGGAAAACUCCAUUGUACGA